GAUGAAGAACGUAGCGAAAUGCGAUAAGAAAUGUGAAUUGCAGAAUUCAGUGAAUCAUCGAAUCUUUGAACGCACAUUGCGCCCGCCAGUAUUCUGGCGGGCAUGCCUGUUCGAGCGUCAUUUCAACCAUCAAGCCCCAGGCUUGUGUUGGGGACCUGCGGCUGCCGCAGGCCCUGAAAACCAGUGGCGGGCUCGCUGUCACACCGGGCGUAGUAGAUUUUAUCUCGCUCUGGGCGUGCUGCGGGUUCCGGCCGUUAAAAAACCCUUUUAACCCAAGGUUGACCUCGGAUCAGGUAGGAAUACCCGCUGAACUUAAGCAUAUCAAUAAGCGGAGGA
rnacentral:misc_RNA from 1 species